GCACACUGCUGAGUUAGCUGAUUUGUAGCUAUAGACUUCAGUUUACCUUCAUUAGUCUUUAGCUUUUCUAUCUCAUUUCCCAUACUGUCGGAACAUAACAUUAUAAUCCCCUAUGGUACCACUAGCUUCCGGGGCCUGGGCGAGCAAAUUUCACUCAUCUCCCUCUUCAAAUCUCCUUAACAACAUCCCUGAUUUCCUUUUCUAAUUUGUUUCUUGAAAACAAAUGAUGUUUGUCUUCCAGUGUUGCCUCAUGGAACGAAAGCAGAUAAAAUUUCCAACAUGGACACCUUUGCUUACGCCAAUUCAGUGACACCAAACAUGCAAAAAAAAAAAACCAACAUGUGUGUGCUAGGAGAGAGUAGUGUUAGUAUUGUUGGUAGAGCUUCGUUUGUCUUUGUCUCCGAAAAACUUUUCACUUGUUCAUUAUUUUGUUAAUUGAUAAUGUGACGGAGUGUUUGCAA